UUGUACUAAGCUUCACCCAUAUCUUGAAUUUUAAAAUUAGGCAGAAUGUGUCAUUCUGUUUCUCAGGAUGCCAUGUAUUCAUCAUAUUCAUACUGCCUGAGCUUUCUGAGUCAUUGGAUUGUAGGUGCAUGACCUUCUUCCUGCCUGUUAUGUUUGUUUUGAAUUUUUAAAUGAAUAUGAGUAUUUUACCUGUAUGCAUGGAUAUGCACCACAUGGGUACUUGGUCAUCACAGUGAUCAAAUGAUAGUCUCAGAAAUCCUGAACUUGGAAUAGUGGAUAGUUGUGAUCCCCUGCAUAAAUAUUGGCAAUUGAGCUCACCUCUCUGAAAGACCAGCAAGAGCUCUUUACUACUGAGCCAUCUCUCCUGCCCUGUGUUGAUUAUUUAUGAUCAACAUUCAUAUUGCUAAUGUUUUCAUCUGUCCAUUUAUAACUGUUACAACAUGCAGUGCCUUUUAGUAAAAUCUUAUUGAUGUUACAGUUUGAAUUGGGACACUUCAGAUUUCUGGAAGAUAGAUUUAGAACUGGAGUGAAUGCAUAGCUCUUUGUAAGAACAUCAGUGAAACCCCCUUGGUUCUAUCUUUUUGUUUGUUUGACUGAUUUUUGCAUGGGAAACAGGGUCCUAAUAUGUACUUCUGGCUGUCCUGGACUUGAUUGCAUAGGCUAAGCUGGCAUUCAACUUAGAGGCAGAUUUAACUGCCUCUGCCUUUUGAGUGUUGGGGUUAAAGUGUGAGCCAAUACAUUCAGCUUGUCAAUCUUAUUUUUCUUCUUUGUAGUUAGUAAUUGUUUAUACAAUUUCUCUCGUGUACUCUGUAUUGUUUAUCUGUUUUCUUGUCUCUCUAUGUUUUGUAAUAGGCAUUUCCCUUGCAAGGUGAUAUCCCAUUCAAAGGGUAAAGAAAUUUCAGAGGUGACCCUCCUAUUCAGUUUCCUUCUAAAGUGACUUCGUGAUUACUUUAUAAUGUCUAUAGUAUAAGUGUGGGGAGAACCAGAAUUAUAUGUCUAUACUGUCAAAGAAGUAUACAUUUACAAUAUCAGUAUCAUGCUUUCUUUUGUACACAUGUAUGGGAUGUUUUAGAAUUCAGUGACCUAUGAUGAUGUGCAUGUUGACUUCACUAAGGAAGAGUGGGCUUUGCUGAAUCCUUCCCAGAAGUAUCUCUACAAAGAUGUGAUGCUGGAGACUUAUAGGAAUCUCACUAUUAUAGGAUACAGUUGGGAAGACCAUAAUAUUGAAGAACAUUGUCAAAGUUCUAGAAGAUAUGGAAGGCAUGAAAGAAGCCAAACUGGAGAGAAACCUUCUGUAUAUACUCAAUGUGCCUUUGCAUACGAUAGUCAGCUUCAAAGUCAUGAAAGAAUGCAUACUGGAGAGAAACCCCAUGAAUGUAAUCAGUGUGGUAAAGUCUUUGUACAGCACAGUCAUCUUCGAAGACAUCAAAGAAUACAUACUGGAGAGAAACCCCAUGAAUGUAAUCAGUGUGGUAAAGCCUUUGCACAGCACAGUCAUCUUCAAAGGCAUCAAAGAACACAUACUGGAGAGAAACCCUAUGAAUGUAAUCA